AGGUGGGGAAGGAAAUAGAAGAGGAAAAACCCUGAUCUGGGAAUUUCAUAUUAUGCUGCUGCCCAGGUAUGCCAGUGCCAUGGUCGACGAAACAGAUCAAACCUGACAUAGAAAUUAAAACUAAGAGAAAACUAUGGACAGGAGUUCUACCCAAUAUCCAGCAGCCUUCUUCACGGAAUAUGUGCCUUCCACAGAGGAAAUCGAUAGGAUGCUCAUAGACUGGGAAAAGCAAAUUGAAGCAUGAGACAAAUAUAGCUCAAGAUGUCCCUAUAAUAAUGAUGCAGAUAUUGACUACAUUAAUGAAAGGGAUGCUAAAUUCAGCAAAAAGGUAGAAGGAUUCUAUGGAAAAUAUAUAAAGCUGAAAAAUGUAUAAAGCUGAAAUUAAACAAAAUCUAGAAAGAGGAACAGCCAUC
rnacentral:lncRNA from 1 species